rnacentral:rRNA from 1 species
GACGAACGCUGGCGGCGUGCUUAACACAUGCAAGUCGAACGGAAAGGCCCUGCUUUUGUGGGGUGCUCGAGUGGCGAACGGGUGAGUAACACGUGAGUAACCUGCCCUUGACUUUGGGAUAACUUCAGGAAACUGGGGCUAAUACCGGAUAGGAUCUCCUGCUGCAUGGUGGUGGUUGGAAAGUUUCGGCGGUUGGGUAUGGACUCGCGGCUUAUCAGCUUGUUGGUGGGGUAGUGGCUUACCAAGGCUUUGACGGGUAGCCGGCCUGAGAGGGUGACCGGCAACAUUGGGACUGAGAGACGGCCCAGAAUGCUACGGGAGGCAGCAGUGGGGAAUAUUGCAGAAUGGGCGGAAGCAUGAUGCAGCAACGCCGCGUGCGGGAUGACGGCCUUCGGGUUGUAAACCGAUUUCGCCUGUGACGAAGCGUGAGUGACGGUAAUGGGUAAAGAAGCACCGGCUAACUACGUG